rnacentral:rRNA from 1 species
CAGUCGCCGCGGUAAUACGAAGGGUGCAAGCGUUAAUCGGAAUUACCGGGCGUAAAGGGCGCGUAGGUGGUUAUUUAAGUGAGAUGUGAAAGCCCCGGGCUUAACCUGGGAACUGCAUCUUAUACUGGGUAACUGGAGUGCAGUAGAGGGUAGUGGAAUUUCCGGUGUAGCGGUGAAAUGCAUAGAUAUCGGAAGGAACACCAGUGGCGAAGGCGGCUACCUGGACUGAGACUGACACUGAGGCGCGAGAGCGUGGGGAGCAAACAGGAUUAGAUACCCCAGUAGUCCCUGUCUCUUAUAC